rnacentral:rRNA from 1 species
AUUGAACGCUGGCGGCAUGCCUUACACAUGCAAGUCGAACGGCAGCACGGGAGCAAUCCUGGUGGCGAGUGGCGAACGGGUGAGUAAUAUAUCGGAACGUGCCCGGUCGUGGGGAGUAACGUAGCGAAAGCUACGCUAAUACCGCAUACGAUCUACGGAUGAAAGCGGGGGAGUCGCAAGACCUCGCGCGAUUGGAGCGGCCGAUAUCAGAUUAGGUAGUUGGUGAGGUAAAGGCUCACCAAGCCGACGAUCUGUAGCUGGUCUGAGAGGACGACCAGCCACACUGGGACUGAGACACGGCCCAGACUCCUACGGGAGGCAGCAGUGGGGAAUUUUGGACAAUGGGCGGCAAGCCUGAUCCAGCAAUGCCGCGUGCAGGAUGAAGGCCU